GACGUAGGGGGCGAGCGUUGUCCGGAAUUACUGGGCGUAAAGAGCACGUAGGCGGAUUAUUAAGUCAGAUGUGAAAGACUGCGGCUCAACCGCAGGGUUGCAUCUGAAACUGGUAAUCUUGAGGGCAGGAGAGGACAGUAGAAUUCCUGGUGUAGCGGUGAAAUGCGUAGAAAUCAGGAGGAAUACCAGUGGCGAAGGCGACUGUCUGGACUGACCCUGACGCUGAGGUGCGAAAGCGUGGGGAGCAAACAGG
rnacentral:rRNA from 1 species